AUUGAACGCUGGCGGCAGGCCUAACACAUGCAAGUCGAACGGUAACAGGAAGAAGCUUGCUUCUUUGCUGACGAGUGGCGGACGGGUGAGUAAUGUCUGGGAAACUGCCUGAUGGAGGGGGAUAACUACUGGAAACGGUAGCUAAUACCGCAUAACGUCGCAAGACCAAAGAGGGGGACCUUCGGGCCUCUUGCCAUCGGAUGUGCCCAGAUGGGAUUAGCUAGUAGGUGGGGUAACGGCUCACCUAGGCGACGAUCCCUAGCUGGUCGGAGAGGAUGACCAGCCACACUGGAACUGGGACACGGUCCAUACUCCUAAGGGAGGCAGCAGUGGGGAAUAUUGCACAAUGGGCGCAAGCCUGAUGCAGCCAUGCCGCGUGUAUGAAGAAGGCCUUCGGGUUGUAAAGUACUUUCAGCGGGGAGGAAGGGAGUAAAGUUAAUACCUUUGCUCAUUGACGUUACCCGCAGAAGAAGCACCGGCUAACUCCGUG
rnacentral:rRNA from 1 species